GAAUAUGCUUUUGACGUUACCGACAGAAUAAGCACCGGCUAACUCUGUGCCAGCAGCCGCGGUAAUACAGAGGGUGCAAGCGUUAAUCGGAAUUACUGGGCGUAAAGCGCGCGUAGGUGGUUUGUUAAGUUGGAUGUGAAAGCCCGGGCUCAACCAUGGGAACUGCAUCCAAAACUGGCAAGCUAGAGUACGGUAGAGGGUGGUGGAAUUUCCGUGUAGCGUCGUGAAAUGCGUAGAUAUAGGAAGGAACACCAGUGGCGAAGGCGACCACCUGGACUGAUACUGGACACUGAGGUGCGAAAGCGUGGGGAGCAAAAGGAUUAGAACCCUGGUAGUCCACGCCGUAAACGAUGCAACUAGCCGUUGGAAUUUGGAUUUUAGUGGCGCAGCUAACGCAUUAAGUUGACCGCCUGGGGAGUACGGCCGCAAGGUUACUCAAAUGAAUUACGGGGGCCCGCACAAGCGGUGGAGCAUGUGGUUUAAUUCGAAGCAACGCGAAGAACCUUACCAGGCCUUGACAUGCAGAGAACUUUCCAGAGAUGGAUUGGUGCCUUCGGGACUCUGCACAGGUCUGCAUGGCUGUCGUCAGCUCGUGUCUGAGAUGUUGGGUUAAGUCCCGUAGGACGAGCGCAACCCUUGUCCUUAGUUACCAGCACGUAAUGGUGGGCACUCUAAGGAGACUGCCGGUGACAAACCGGAGAAGGUGGGAUGACGUCAAGUCAUCAUGGCCCUUACGCCUGGGCUACACACGUGCUACAAUGGCGGUACAGAGGGUUGCCAAGCCGCGAGGUGGAGCUAAUCUCACAAAACCGAUCGUAGUCCGGAUCGCAGUCGCAACUCGACUGCGUGAAGUCGGAAUCGCUAGUAAUCGCAAUCAGAAUGUCGCGGUGAAUACGUCCCGGGCCUUGUACACACCGCCCGUCACACCAUGGGAGUGGGUUGCACCAGAAGUAGAGUCUGCGGAACUCGACGCGGAAGUCGAAUCGCUAGUAAUCGCGAAUUCGCGGUGAAUACGU
rnacentral:rRNA from 1 species